rnacentral:rRNA from 1 species
GAUUAACGCUAGCGGCAGGCAUAAUACAUGCAAGUUGAACGGCAGCACAGGUAGCAAUACUGGGUGGCGAGUGGCGCACGGGUGCGUAACACGUAUGCAACCUACCCUAUACAGGCGAAUAACCUUUAGAAAUGAGGGCUAAUACGCCGUAGUAUUACAGAUGGGCAUCUAUUUGUAAUUAAAGAUUUAUCGGUAUAGGAUGGGCAUGCGUCCCAUUAGUUAGUUGGUAAGGUAACGGCUUACCAAGACGAUGAUGGGUAGGGGAUCUGAGAGGACUUACCCCCACUCUGGUACUGAGACACGGACCAGACUCCUACGGGAGGCAGCAGUAAGGAAUAGUGGGCAAUGGCCGCGAGGCUGACCCAGCCAUGCCGCGUGCAGGAAGACGGCCUUAUGGGUUGUAAACUGCUUUUAUACGGGAAUAAUAGAGUGUACGCGUACAUUUAUGCAAGUAUCGUAUGAAUAAGCAUCGGCUAACUCCGUG